GAUGUUGUUGCGGCUGUAAAAGUGCAUCAAAAUUCCAGAAGCUGCAAGAAAACAGAAGGGAUUAAAAUUUUUGAUAUGUUACAAUAAAUUACAACCAACACUUGGUGUAAAGCCCAAAAUAAAAAUAACAAACAAUAGGAUAUUACAAUUUAAGAUCUUUUAGGAGUGUCAACAUAAUAGAAACACCAAUAUUUUUGUCACCCAUGAUAACAUAUGAUAACAUGAGGUUCUUCAAAGAGCCCAACCAUCUUAAAAUGAUCUUAUAACAAACAGUUGUCCAAAAUUUAACUGCCACUAUAUAGAAAACCAUUACACUACCCAAGCAUAACCAGAAGAACUAACCCCAGUCUGCGAAUACAAGAUUAAUUAAUCAAUAUUAAUAAAAAUUUAAAAACUGUUUAGUAAUAUAAUCCUUCAGUAAAUUAUAACUGGGAUAGACACCUCUUCUUUCCCUGAAAUAGACAUUGCUCUUUAUUUGGCAAAUGUGAUAAUGAAGUCCUGGAACACACUCCUGAAGCACUUACAAGUUCCAAUAGCAAUAAAAGUUCUUAUUAUUUAUUUAAAGAACUAUUGCUAGGCAAGCAGACUAGUGCAGCUUCAGCAGUCUCUUACACUAAGUGUUUCUGUAGAAUGCGGGCACCCUACAGGAUAUAUACCAAAAAUAACCAUAAAUUGAUUGUCUGAGAUUAAAUUUAUAAAAGAAAAAAUUGAGCUCAACUCCACAUAAACAUUUGCAAUUACGAAAGCAGGGAUGAUGUGGUUUAGGAAACAAUUUUGGGAAAAAUACUUAUAUGCCCUUCAUAAAAAAAUAAAUCUACAUAAAAACAAACGAGGGCACACUAUAGAACCUAACCAAAAUAUAUAAAAAAUUUCAGGAACUAACUUUUUCUACAUCCCUUAAAUUUGGCAGGCUUGCAAUCUACUGGAAAGCUAAACACGCCCAAAAUAGAAAGCAGCUAUAUAUACAAUAUCUGACAAAAUAUAACAUCAAUAAACCCCAACUUUUAACUUAAAUUCUACCAAAAACUAAUAGUCAUGCCAGAUAAUUAUUCACAAAGGAUCACAGGUAGCGUAAUUUUAGAAACAAUUUUUGACAACACCUAGUCUCCAGAUCUAGACCAACAAACUCCCUUGAAAGAUUAAAAUAUUACUUUUUUAAAAUUAAAAAAAAAUCUAGAGAACAUAUGACGUAUUUCUUAAAAACAAGAAUCCAACUUUAACAUCUGUUGAAUUUCUAAACAUGUUGCAACAUAAACAACACCAUCGAAAACCGUGAAUUGAACUUGACAAAAAAGAAAAACCCGAUCUGCAUGAUAUAUAGAUAUGAGAGACAGAAAAAAAAUCUAAAUUAAAACAGCUCCAAUGAAGCAAAUCAUAUACAGAUUAAGAACCCAGAAAAAAUAAGAGAAAAAAUUACCUAACCAACAAUGAUCAGAUACAGAUACAGAAACAAAAGUAAAUAUAUAUAAAUAGAUAUGUAUAAAUAAAGGGGGAGAGAGGAUGAGAAGAGGAUUAUUAUGGUUGGCAUGAAAUUAUUGUGAGAUGAGAGAAUAGGAGAGUAAUUGCCCUUUGAUUCAAGAAGAAAAAGAAGACGACGACUAAUGCGACCAAGAUGAGGGUUUGUGUCGUCGUAUAGCAGUAGUCAAAGAUAAUGAAAAAUUCAAAAACAAACAUACAACUUGAAGCUCGAAGUCUCAUGUCCAUGGAAGCUCAAAUAUUAAGUAUUUGAAAAGUACCAACAAUAAAGACCUAAAGAACCCUUGCCUUCAUUUUUACCCUCCAAUUUACUACAGAUUAUCAACUUAGCACAAAAUCGGGUCCAAAUAAAAUAUCAAACAUCCAAAAAAAAUAGUCAUAGUGGGUACACAUUUCUCAACAGCAAGAUUUAGUUUCAUUAAACACUUGUAAAAAGAAACACUUUUCUUGUUCAUCAUUCAGAAAGUAGUAACAGAAACUAACCAAAAAGAAUAUAAAUUAAAAAAAAUCAAUGAAAUUGAGAAAUUUAAAGAUCCCCUUCUCUUCUUUCCCUCUCUUUUUUCAUUUUUAAUAAGAAAUUAGAAUUUUAUAAAUGAGGAAGAGAGUGACAGUUCACAAUUAAUUAUUUCUUAUAAUAUUUGAGCAAGCAAACGAGCUCAAAGCUGCUGUUUAUCUAGAAUGCUAUUUUUCCCCCAAAUCUAUCCAUAUUCAGAUAAUCUAUAACAGAGUGUAACUCAAAUAAUCAUCACUCACAGAAAACUAUCUAACUCAAAAAUAGCAUCAUAAUUAAAUUACACAAACCCAUAAAAGUUGAUUCAAACCAUGUCUCAAGGCUUCUGUGCAGAAAACAUAAUGAAGGAUUGUUGAAUUGUGCUUGUGUAGUUGAUCAGACCACAUGAUGAGCACAAAUCUUCAAUCUCCUCCGCUGUCAAAUAGUUGUAAUCUCGCAGGACCCUCUGACGGAAAAAAUUACAUAUAUCAAGACUAAGAUGAUAAUCUUUAAGUAAAAGCCAAUUGAGCUAGGAGACAGGCUGCUUAUUAUUUUAAAUCUUUUAAUCCUACUACAAUAGCUCUAUCCGGUGUCAUACUGUCAAUCAUUCAACUUGGGAUAUCCAAGAAAUCGAUAUUUUUGUGGAAGAUGUAGUAGUUGGCAAUGCAUUACACCACAAUGUGUUUCUAAAGUACCAUUUAUCAAAACCACAAACUCCAUUCAAUUUAAGCAUCUGGAUAUUAAUAAGUAUAAGAUGAGUGCAGAAAGCAAAGAAGGAAAGAAAUUUAAACAUCAAAAGGUGCAUAUAAAGUAAAGACUAACUCAGACUUGCAGUCUCAUGAUAGGAUUACGAUCAUGAACAAUCACAAAAACUGGCAUUAGUUUACACUUGUUACAAUUUAAAUGUUAUUAAUUCCAUGCCAUAAGACACAACAUAAUUGCCCAUAAUGGAGAAAAUGGCUUCCUUGCAAACAACCUAAAUAUUCAUCACAAACACCACAAACAAAAAAUAAAUAUAAAAACAAACAUAAAUUGAAUAGCAGAUAUUAAUACUACCUCCGUCCCACAAUAAGUGCUUUUUUAGGCUUAAUAUUUUUUUCCAAAAUAAGUGAUGUGUUAGAACUCCAAUACAAUUUUUGCAAUAUUUUCUCAUAUAUGCCCUUAUGCAUUCAAUGGUAUUUAUUGCAUCUUACCAUCACUAUAAUUAAAUGACACUCAUUAACUCUUCAACUUCAAAGAAAAUAUAUUAAGGGUAUUUUUGCCAUUUUAGCUUGUGUAUCGGUAUGUGUGAUUUAAGCUAAAAAAACACUUAUUAUGGGACGGAGGUAGUAUUUCAUUAGAAUAAACUUGAGACAAAGAGAGAAACCAAAUAAUAUUUCCAUAACAUAUAAUUGUACCAAUAACAACUAUAAUGGCCAUACUCAAGGGCCAAGAAUAUAACCAGAAUAUGAAAAUAUCAUCAAAAACUGUAAAAUCAUCAAGCACUACUAAAAAAUAAAAAUAAAAAUAAAGCCCUAAACAGUAAAUACACAUAUAUAGACAAAUCCACAUAAGUAGAGAUAAAUUCAUUGACUAACGCUCAAAAUAAACUCAGUUUAUAUACCAUCCGAGCCCAAUUGGUAGAAAAAUUACCUCAAAAAUUUUUGGAGUCGGCGACUGGCGAGUGAAGAGACGACUGAAUCCUUUGAAGAGAAACGAGAAAUUAGAAACUACUGAAGAGAAUUCAGAAGAUGGAUCAGUGACAGUGGCCGUUGGGAGAGGAUGGAUCGGAGAUGGUUGGCAUGCAUAGAAUGGUUCGAGCUUUCGAGGAUGGGUCUGAGAUCUAUUUGGGGGAAUGAACUAAAACUUUGAAAGGAUAAGAAAAUUGAAAUAUUAUUUAUGUAACCGGUCCAACUGGCUCGGUUGUAU
rnacentral:lncRNA from 1 species